UACAGAGGGUGCAAGCGUUGUUCGGAAUUACUGGGCGUAAAGCGCGCGUAGGCGGCUUUGCAAGUCGAUUGUGAAAUCCCCAGGCUUAACCUGGGAACUGCAUUCGAGACUGCAUAGCUAGAGUAUGGGAGAGGGAAGUGGAAUUUCAGGUGUAGCGGUGAAAUGCGUAGAUAUCUGAAGGAACAUCAGUGGCGAAAGCGACUUCCUGGACCAAUACUGACGCUCAUGUGCGAAAGCGUGGGGAGCAAACAGG
rnacentral:rRNA from 1 species